rnacentral:lncRNA from 1 species
UGUAACAUUACCCUCUGGGUUGCCAUUAACAAGAUUAUUGAUUUUAAUAUUUUUGGUGGUGAUGAUGGUAACCCUAACUCACUUUAGGUUUAUAGGCAUAAAAGCUAUUGUGACUGAAAGAUCUUGUUAAUGCAUAUUUGAUUAUAGUCUUAGUACAACUAAUGUUGUAACCUUAGAUUGAGGAAGCUUGAUUCAUUAUAGCUAACAUGCAGUGCUUGCAAAAUUCAAGCAUAAUUAACUAAAUAAAAUUUCAUCUUUUGUGUCUUUUGAUUUUAUUUAUGAUUAUUUGGAGGCCUAAAACACUUAUCUAUCCGCCUUUAGGACCUGAGGUAUAAAUUUAUAUUCUAACUUUAGGGAGAUUUAUCAAAAAUUGAUGAUCUGGCUGAAGGGAUUGUAAUAGAACCCGGAAAUGGAAGAAUGAAAAUAGGAGAUUUUUUUUUGCCAGAUAGGUGAAGGAUUCAGGUAAGUAACUGGCUUGAGACCUUACAGACAGUAUGGCAGGACAGAGUCAGAGUCAAAUAAGUUGUAAUUUCAAAUGUGAGUACCGGUGUCCCAGGUCACAGGGUUAAGGUACUUGCUGCUAAGUCUUCCUGGGGAAGACCACUCCUCCCACUGACAGCUUUCCUCAAUUGCCCAUAGGUUUUGUGUGUGUAUAUUAAUCUGUUUUCCCAGAUUUGCAGUCUACAUCCUCUUUGUUGUGUUCUGUUCUUUAACUAGUGUAGACUUUCUAAAAUACUUCCCCAGAUAAACUGGAACUAUUUUGUAUCCACAGCCUGUUGUUUCUCUGAUUGUUAGAAUCCCAUUCUUUGAUUAAAACUGACUGACAUAUUAGAUAAACAUUAAAUUUUCAUCUUGCUUAAAUCUAUUUUUUUCCAUUUCACACAUAAUGAGUUGCUUCAAAUGUAUCCAGACCCAAAACUAUCUUGAAAAAAUUAUAUCGAUAAUCUAAAAAGAUUUCUGAUUGGUCUGGAUACAGAAGAGCAGGAAAGAUCUGCUGCCCAGAAGAUGAAAGGUCUAUGGUACACAUGUCAGCAAUCACAAGCGAUAGCCUUUCCUAGGGUUCUCAAUGGAAUGGUUUUUACAGUUAUUUAUUUUGUUGUAUGUUGUAUGAGAGUUUUGCAUGCAUGUAUGUCUGCACAUCUCUGUAUGCGUUGCAUGAGGCAGCUGACAGCAGUUCCUGGCCUGGAAGUGCAGAUGAAUGGCCAUGUGGGUUCCCUGUAAGAGCAGCAGCUAUCCUUAACUGCUGAGCCAUUUCUCCAGCCCCUCUGCAUAAUACAUUAAGAUGAAAACGCUAGCACUCGUGUGAUGGUACUGAUUGUAAGUAUAUUUUCACCAAACAUAUAUUUUCUAAUAAGGCACUUAAGUGGAAAAAAGUAUGCUCACGAAAACUUCUUAAUUGUCAUUGUCUAAAGCCAUUUUUGUUAAGAAAAAAAUUCUUGAGCGCAGCUAACUUAGUGAGCUCGGGGUAUGGUUUAGUCAGCAUCUUGACAUAAGCAAACAAAUAGCUACUUAGGUUCUCUCUUUCCUCAUUAAUCUGUGCAGGCUCUCCUGUCCAGGAGAGAUUUCUUACAGUCUGUCCUAUGACCUUUCAAUCUCAGAUUCCCUGGCUGUACAAUCUCCACACUUCACCCUCUGCUAAGUGACCCAGUACACACAAGGAGGGAGAAAUAAUCCUCAGAGUAACUGCCCAGCAGCCCUUGCCCCUUUCCCAUGUCGAAUGGAGCACCGGUUCCUGCUAGUUCAGUGACUGCUCUUCUUUGGUCACACACUCAGUGAGAGGAUACGUGUUCUCUGUAAAGCAGGCCUUACUGUCUGUUACCAGCCACAGCACGUUUCAGUCUGCUCUGGGUUUUUCUUUUAUCACUUUAAGGAACUGGAAUUAUUAGUAAUUAAUAAUCUAGUCAAUUAUUUUUAUUUUGUAAAAAGCAUUAGAAUUUAGGAACAUUAAGCAUACAGAAAAAAGGGAACAGCAGUAAAAAUUGAUCAUAAUCAGAUAUACAGGAAAAAAUCCCCAGUGAGUUGUCAAUAUAUUUUAUUUUACUUAAAAAAUUAUCAUAUAGCAAAUGAUUAAAAGACUGUAAGUUUCUGCUGAAGGUGUCCAAAAACAUAUAAUAUGUUCAAUAUAAACAUUUACCAAUAUAAACAUUUACUCGUAGACCUUUAGCUUAGCAAACUUCUCAGCGUACAACCCGAUAAAACUUUAUUUACAGAAAUCAUUUAUAACAUAGUCUCUCAGUACUUUUACAAUUAAUAACAUAUAUCAUUUUCAUUUUUGUAUACGUGGUUCCAUAUGUAUGCACAUAUGGUAUCUUGACAUGUAAUACAAAUUAAUAUAUUUUUCUAAUUAAAAAUUUUUUUCAAUUUUUUUAUUAGAUAUUUUCUUCGUUUAUAUUUCAAAUGCUAUCUCGAAAGUCCCCUAUACCCUCCCCUCCUGCCCUGCUCCCCAACAUACCCACUCUCACUUUCUGGAUCUGGCAUUCCCCUGUACUGGGGCAUAUAAUCUUCGCAAGAUCAAGGCCCUCUCCUCCCAUUGAUGGCCGACUAGGCCACCCUCUGCUACAUUUUUCAGCAUUUAAUAUGACUGUAACCAUGAUGAAACCUAUCACUGAUAGCAUACAAUAAUAUAGUCAGUUUUUCCUUAUUAGGCAGUAUACAAAAUAGUUCAUCUUAAAAUCAAAGGCAUUAGAUUCUAUGUAAGUGAUGUUUAAUAGAACUGAUGAAAUAUGCAUAUAUUUUAAAGGAUGUAUAACUGUACAAGAUAUAAAUAUACAUUCACAAGCAAUUAAGGAUAGUAAUAAUAUGUAGAGUAGUAUAUAUAGUUUGUACUUGCAAAAGACAUUUACCAAAUCAUUGAUAGUAACUUAACUGGAGAAAGGGAAUCAUGCAGAAGUUUUGUUUCAUAUUUUUGUUUUGUAUUAUUUAAAUUUUCAUAAAAGUUGUAAUAAAAUUAUAUUUCUUGUUAGUACAACUUAUAGGUUAAAAAAAGGAAAAACUUCUUAAUCAAUUCUCCC